GUAGUCAUAUGCUUGUCUCAAAGAUUAAGCCAUGCAUGUCUAAGUAUAAGCAAUUAUACCGCGGAAACUGCGAAUGGCUCAUUAAAUCAGUUAUCGUUUAUUUGAUAGUACCUUACUACAUGGAUAACCGUGGUAAUUCUAGAGCUAAUACAUGCUAAAAAUCCCGACUUCGGAAGGGAUGUAUUUAUUAGAUUAAAAACCAAUGCCCUUCGGGGCUCUCUGGUGAUUCAUAAUAACUUCUCGAAUCGCACGGCCUUGCGCCGGCGAUGGUUCAUUCAAAUUUCUGCCCUAUCAACUUUCGACGGCUGGGUCUUGGCCAGCCGUGGUGACAACGGGUAACGGAGGGUUAGGGCUCGACCCCGGAGAAGGAGCCUGAGAAACGGCUACUACAUCCAAGGAAGGCAGCAGGCGCGCAAAUUACCCAAUCCCGACACGGGGAGGUAGUGACAAUAAAUACUGAUACAGGGCUCUUUCGGGUCUUGUAAUUGGAAUGAGUACAAUUUAAAUCCCUUAACGAGGAACAAUUGGAGGGCAAGUCUGGUGCCAGCAGCC
rnacentral:rRNA from 1 species